GCCAGGUGUGGUGGUGCACACCUGUAGUCCCAGUUACUCGAGAGACUGAGGCAGGAGGAUCACUUGAGCUCAGGAGCUUGAGGCUGCAGUGAGCUAGGAUCGCACCACUGCACUCCAGCCUGGGUGACAGAGUGAGACCCUGUCUCUA
rfam:Homo sapiens chromosome 1, GRCh38 reference primary assembly.